rnacentral:lncRNA from 1 species
GGAGAGCUGAGUAUGGGUGGCGGUAGAGAGUAGAGGAGGAGCAGAGGAGAGGGGUGGAGAGUCUAGAGAGAGUGUGGAUGCGUAAUGGUGCAUUCCAGAGUGGCCACCGGCUCACUCACCCAUUUCCCGUCCCCCCAAACCCCGAUUCUUGUGGCUCUCUCCUUCCCUCCAUUACCUGGGAGUGAGUGACGGACGGAAGGAGAGAUUCGAGAGAACUGGGGAUGUGGGGUGGGUUGUGGGCAUCAGAGCGCAGAGUGGAGAGUCUCGAGAAGUGAGCUUUGUUGGUGGGGGAUGGGCAGCAGACUGGAUAGAGAAUGGAGGAGAGCAGAGCAUUUAGCAUUGUGCAUGGGGGAUGGGUAGCAGAGUGAUCUAGAGUAGAGAGCAUCGCGGUUUGGGGGCCUUGGGGUCCAUCCCACCUCACGCACGCACGCACUCAUCCCCACCAACCAACCCCCAGAGCGCUGUCUUCCACCUGGUAGUUUUUCUAAUCCCCACCCAUUGGGGCCUGAAAGAAGGAAAUAGAAUAUCAUCGGGGACAGCCGGAACCCGGACCAGAAACACGGCGACCCCUAUCUGGACUCCUAACUGGACCUCCCCCCUUUGCAACUCCCCCCGCCCUCGCCCCGCCGCUCCGCAGAUGAAAAAAUUUGAGUGCAGUCAGCCUUUUCUUUUUGUCCCUGCUAAGCCAUCAUCCUUUUGUGUGGUGCCACCCACACCCAGGGUGGGCCUUCCUUAAUCCUAGAGUCACACACUCUAGAUCCAGCCAUCUGUGAAAAGCCCCACCUGGGAGAACAUGAGACUUUGAGGGGACAUCUACAUACAAGCCAUAACAGUGAUAUUUCAAAAAUAAUGACAAGUGUGGACCAGGUAUCAGUCAAUAAAUAUCCAAGAGGUAGGUUUGGAUGGUGCUCAAGGGUGAAGAGCAGCAGCUUUUCACUAACUUGCACGUAAAUUAUUUCUUUUCUUUUUUGUUUUACAGGGGAUCAAACUCAGGUCCUUGUGCUUUCAAGGCAGGCGGCAGAACCACUGAACUAAAUCCCUGGCCCCUCAACAUUUCAUUCUUAUGACCAUAGGGCCACAUCAGAGAUGUACUGAAUAUCAGAUCUGGCUAUAAAUUUGAGAG